rnacentral:rRNA from 1 species
UACGUAGGUGGCAAGCGUUGUCCGGAUUUAUUGGGUUUAAAGGGUGCGUAGGCGGUUUUUUAAGUCAGUGGUGAAAUACGGCAGCUCAACUGUCGAGGUGCCAUUGAUACUGGGAAACUUGAGUACUGAUGAGGUAGGCGGAAUGGGCGGUGUAGCGGUGAAAUGCUUAGAUAUCGUCCAGAACACCGAUAGCGAAGGCAGCUUACUAAGGAGUAACUGACGCUGAGGCACGAAAGUGUGGGGAUCAAACAGG